GAUGAACGCUGGCGGCGUGCUUAACACAUGCAAGUCGAACGGUGAAGCCAAGCUUGCUCGGUGGAUCAGUGGCGAACGGGUGAGUAACACGUGAGCAACCUGCCCCUGACUCUGGGAUAAGCGCUGGAAACGGCGUCUAAUACCGGAUACGACACGCCUCCGCAUGGGGAGCGUGUGGAAAGUUUUUCGGUCUGGGAUGGACUCGCGGCCUAUCAGCUUGUUGGUGAGGUAAUGGCUCACCAAGGCGAUGACGGGUAGCCGGCCUGAGAGGGCGACCGGCCACACUGGGACUGAGACACGGCCCAGACUCCUACGGGAGGCAGCAGUGGGGAAUAUUGCACAAUGGGCGAAAGCCUGAUGCAGCGACGCCGCGUGAGGGAUGACGGCCUUCGGGUUGUAAACCUCUUUCAGCAGGGAAGAAGCGAAAGUGACGGUACCUGCAGAAGAAGCACCGGCUAACUACGUGCCAGCAGCCGCAGUAAAAC
rnacentral:rRNA from 1 species